UGGGCUUGUCCCCACUCCCCAUCGUUCUCCCCACCAUGGACUCCGGCAAUCUGCUGCUGCUGCUGCGGCGGCGGCGGCGCCAAAAAUGGCCUGAAUCGACCCGACUUGCAGUGCAGCAUCAUUCCCAUGGCCUUGCGCCACCGCGUGUCGCUUCCCGCUGAGCGCAUCCACCGGUCGAGUUCACCUCGCCUCGACCCCACGCUUCGCCGCAGGGGAUCUGUGUCUACUAAGGCCUCCACCUCCUCGCUCUUGUUGGACCACGCCGUCCGGCGAUGGAAGCGGCGGCGGAUCUCUAUCCCCUCCCUGACAUUGCUGGAGAUUUUCAGCAGUAGCAUGGCAGUAUGGCACGGUUGAUUGCCUGCCCUACAGAUUUCUCUUCUCGCAUUUCCUUCUAAUAUCCAGGUCCUGGCUCUUUCAAUGGCAUGGAUUGGAAUAUGCAAGCAACAAUCGACUACUUCUUACUAACUAGUGAGAUCUAAUUAACUUUUCAGUGGCAAACAGACGAUGGAUUCUCUUAUGAAAUUUCCACCAGGUACUGACCCAUGAAAAGGACAAUAAGAGUAUCUGACUAACUAGUGGAGCUAGGAGUACAAUACAUCAGGAGAUACAUCACAGCAACUGAUGAACAGAG